rnacentral:rRNA from 1 species
AUGGGCAUCUCCAGCAUGCCGGCGCCCAAGGAGAGCCUCCUGAUCUACCUGCUCUACCACGCCGUCGUCUCGAUCGCCGCCCUGGCGGGCCUCCUCCGCGCCGCGCUCGUCUUCCUCGGCCUGCCCGCGCCGCCGUCGCUGCUGGCCGGGGAGGACGCCGACGGCGCCGACCAGCUCACGGCGGCCACCCCGGCGGCCCCCAGCCUGGCCGAGAGGUUCAGGAGCAGGUUCCGCCCCGCGCGCUUCGGCCGGAGGCGGGGCGCGGCGGCGGUGCCUGACUGCCGCGUCUGCCUGGUGCGGUUCGAGGCGGACGCCGUGGUGAACCGCCUGCCCUGUGGCCACCUCUUCCACCGCGCCUGCCUCGAGACCUGGCUGGACUACGACCACGCCACCUGCCCGCUCUGCCGCUCCCGCCUCCUCCCGGCCGCCGCGGCCGCCGACGAGUCGUGGUCGCCGCCGGCCCCCACCCUGACGGCCUGGAUUUAG